AACUAGACUCAAAGAAUGCAAAACUAAACUUUAAAACACCAAAACAAACCAAAAGACUCAAAACAGCCCAGAAACACUCAAAACUGCCUUAAAACCACAAUCUGGGCAGUUUUGAACACUAGACACAAACUUGGACGAAAAUUGGUUUUAACUUGACUCAAAACACUUAAAAACACAAACUAACUUGACUUCUAACUAAUAUGACUUAACAAAGAAAAGGGGGAUUGAUUUUGGACGAAUUUGAAAACAAAACAAAACUUGUAAACGAACAGAUUUUAAAACGAAUUUGGUUUAAAUGGAUGAAUGGAAGGCUAGCUAAGGGGUUCAUCUCCACACAUGUUAUACUUGCAUUCAAAACGAUUUCCAAUUGCUUUUCAAUAACCCAUGAAUUCUCAACGCCCCAAGUUAAUUAGGUCCGCUUAAAUUAACCUUCAGAUUUUCCUAACGUUAUUGAAUUGGAUGAUUGCAUAAUAGAGAUACAUGCAAGAAUCAUUAAGUUCUAUGAAAACCAUAAGCAUUGACGAAGCACUUGUUACUAUGAUUGCAUGAAACUUAUGCCAAGAAUUUACUUAACGCGAUUGAGAUCAUCAACCUUUACUACUUGCGAAUAUAAGUCCAUAACGAUUAGGUGAAAUUUCCUUAUAUCCUAGCAUUCAAUUUAUGCAUGAGAAUUAAGCGUGCACUCUCAACCAACACACACAAAUCAAUGUAAUUGACAUAGAUAAGUAAAUUGAAUUCACAACUUAUGAAACGCAAUUAGAAGUAAUCAAAUCAUAUCGCAAGCAUAAACAUGUAUUUCGAAUCCCCCCUAGCCAAGGGGGGGUUUAGUUCCUCAUACGCACAAAACAAAGAGAAUUGAAUUUAAACAUUGAAAUCAAAGGAAAAGAAACACCUAGAAAUUCCAGCGACACGAACUUGAAUUGCAUGAACUUCCAAGCUUCCUUCUCCUCCUCCUUGGUGCGGCAAAGGGUCUAGGGACAGGUUUAGGGCCUUAGGUGUAUGGAUGCAUGGUUAUGGAGGAAUGUAGUAGUGUUUAGGGGAUGGGAAUGGUGCGGCAAGAACUUAGAACUAGGGGGAAUGGUGUUUGGUAGCUACGGCAAGAGUGUGGAGAGGGUUGGACGAAUUUCUGGAGUGAAUUGUGAAUUGUGGUGAGUGGUGAGUUCGGCCAAGGGGGUUUAUGAGUAUUUAUAGGCACUUAAAACCCUAGGUAAAUCAGAUAUGGACUUGAAUAACCCAAAUCCACAAGGAAUGAGGCUUAAAAAUCAAAAUUAAAAGGGGAAAAGACCUCCUAGGUGUGGCUGGAUAGGGAGAAGAAGGAUAAGGCUUCUAGAAUGCCUUGCAAGGCAAGGAACUAGGGCAUCUAGAAGCUAGGGUGCGGCACCAAUGUAGGGAUUAGGGAUAGGGCUUCUAGAAAGCCCCAAAACUGAUAGGAAAUGUAGGAAACUCACGGCAAGGAGGGGAACACUCUAGAAACUUCUCAUUUGUGUCCUACAACACUUAGGAGCCCUUCUAGCUUUAGGAAAACAUGUCUCAAUCCUCCCUUGACUUGGAAUUCUUCUCCUUAUUCAUCUUGGAAAACUUCUUUGUUGCUGAAACUUGAUGCCAUUUGGAUUUAACUUUCCUACUUCAAGUAGGAAACCUUGUUUGAGUAGGGAACUUCAUCUUCUAGGAAUCCCAAUUUCACUAGGAAACCUAUUUCAACUAGGAAUCCUAAUUCAACUAGGAUUCCAUCUUCAAUUAGGGACUUUCCUACUUCAACUAGGAAACCUUGUUCAAGUAGGAAACAUCAUCUUCAAAUCUUCAAUUUCGCCCAAACCCUUGGCUCCAAAUAUGAUGUCCAUUCCAAGCUCUAAUUUGCUCCAAAAGGCUCCAAAAUGCAUCCUUUUGCAUACUUUGCCCUUAGAACCUGAAAACACAUAAAACUAGCUUAAAAGACUACUUUACUAAGGAAAAACACUAUAAAUGCACAAGAACAAGCUAAACUAAGGCGCAUAAAUAUGCUCCUAUCAUGUGUAGAUGGGUUUGGCUAAAAGAAUGGAUGAAGAAUGGGUGGUGUGGCUGAAUGUGUUUUUGAUGUAGUGUGUUCUCUAGUGUUUUUCCCUUCACUCCCUAUUUAUAAAAGCUCCAAAGCAAAGAAUCACUCAAGUGGCUUCAAUAAACAAUACAAACAAAGACCAAAAUGAUGCAAAAACAGCUAGUUUACAUCCCUUUUCCACAUGUGUCUUGCCUUUAACAAAAGGCAAUCAUUCCUCUUUUGCUAAUUCAACUCCUUUGUAGCUGUCCAUGUGCCUUUAUUCUUCAAUUUCUGAUGCAUUUGCCUUGUAUUCCAUCCCUUUUCCACAUGUACUAGCUGUUAGACAACUUUCAUACACAUGUUUUGCAUCAUUUCAUCUUGCAAACAUCAACUUUCGGCCACUUUACACCUCUACAC
rnacentral:lncRNA from 1 species